AACAACUCAAGGUAAAAAAAGUUUUAAGGAAGUCUUAUACAAGAAAGAUAAAAAGAAGUCGAGAAGAAGAGAAAGAAAAACUUUCCAGGUAAGAGAGGAGACGGUCACACAUCAUACGGUCGAAAAAGACAAGGAUGACUGAUGAAGGUGAGGAGACAGUUGUGAACACAUGAGCAUUACGCUCUUUCCAUAGCAGGUAGAUGGCUGACUGAAAGUAGAGCUUGAUGACUAGAGUAGUAUGCGCAUCUGUGUUGACGCGAGGUUGAUUGAUCCAGGCUGCAACAGAGUGUAGAUCAGCCGAAGGAGAAAUCCAAACUUCAGCAGCAAAAGGCUCCCAUAUCAAGCGAGAGAAAGAGCACUCAAAGAAGAGAUGAUGGUGAGUCUCUAUUUAAAGAUUACAAAGGACACACGUUCCUGAGACAUUUAACCCCCAAUGCCUCAAGCGAUCCUUGGUUGGCAGUCUUCUCCGCAAAGCCAGCCAUGAUAUAAACGCAUUACGUGGAAUAUGUUCCUUGAACCAAAUAGUUUUGUGCCAAUAUUUGUUGUUGAUAGUGUUUAUAUUCUUUUCU
rnacentral:lncRNA from 1 species